GUGGGUACGGCAGCCUAUGUCAUGGUUUAUAAUAGGGAACAAACAGAAAGGUGAGUUGUAGCACUGACCUCACAGUGGACCUGCUUCCUAUGACACAACCAUGUGAGCUCUCUGGACCUCUGUUUCCUAUUCUGUGAAGUGAAACAUUGGACUACAUCAUGUCUAACUGCCCUUGGAUUUUCAACUUCCUUGUUGAAAGUCAGAAGUGUUUUCAUUUAUCCGGAAGAAUUCCAGGACAAAGCCUCCAUCAAGGAGCGGAGUCCAGAUGUCAGUGAAGUAGACACUGCCAAGUUGAGGACUUCCUCAGCUCAUUACAUUGUUUAGCUAUCUCGAGUGCAGUGUAUCAAACACGAGUGCAUCUGCUUCUCAGGAUCCUUCACAGACUAUACAAUAAUGCUAUGCCCCUGGGAGUCACUAAAACAUGAUGAAGCAAAGAAAGACAAAGACAGAAGAAAGGGAUAAGAAGAGUAGGAGUGAAGAGGGCAAAAGAUUAAAACAAGCAUGUCCAGGAAGAUUCUGCGCCCAAACUGGCUGUCAAGUGGACCAGAGGAAGUGUCUGCCAAGAGAUACAUUUAAAAUGGUGGUGUAGCAACAAAAGAAAAGAGAGUUUCUGUCCUUGGUCCCAUAGCUCAGCACUUUUCUGCCCAUGGUUCCACAGUAAAUUUGAAAUCAAUUAUCCUUUGUCAUUUCCUGAUAGAAUUUCUAUCACUGUGCUCACAACUGAAAGAGAGACUAAGCAGAAAGGGCCAGG
rnacentral:lncRNA from 1 species